AGUGAUCCGGUGGUUCUGAAUGGAAGGGCCAUCGCUCAACGGAUAAAAGGUACUCCGGGGAUAACAGGCUGAUACCGCCCAAGAGUUCAUAUCGACGGCGGUGUUUGGCACCUCGAUGUCGGCUCAUCACAUCCUGGGGCUGAAGUAGGUCCCAAGGGUAUGGCUGUUCGCCAUUUAAAGUGGUACGCGAGCUGGGUUUAGAACGUCGUGAGACAGUUCGGUCCCUAUCUGCCGUGGGCGCUGGAGAACUGAGGGGGGCUGCUCCUAGUACGAGAGGACCGGAGUGGACGCAUCACUGGUGUUCGGGUUGUCAUGCCAAUGGCACUGCCCGGUAGCUAAAUGCGGAAGAGAUAAGUGCUGAAAGCAUCUAAGCACGAAACUUGCCCCGAGAUGAGUUCUCCCUGACUCCUUGAG
rnacentral:rRNA from 1 species